rnacentral:rRNA from 1 species
AUCCAGGCCUAUGUCUUACACAUACCCCAAAGAAUGUAACAGAAUGUAUUGUAUAUGGCCUAGUGCCUAUAAACUAUAUACAACUUUCAGCAACGGAUCUCUUGGCUCUCGCAUCGAUGAAGAACGCAGCGAAAUGCGAUAAGUAAUGUGAAUUGCAGAAUUCAGUGAAUCAUCGAAUCUUUGAACGCACCUUGCGCUCCUUGGUAUUCCGAGGAGCAUGCCUGUUUGAGUGUCAUUAAAUUCUCAACCUUAUUAGCUUUUGCUGAUAAUGGCUUGGACUUGGGGGUCUUUUUGCUGGCUUUCAUUAGUCUGCUCCCCUUAAAUGUAUUAGCCGGUGCCCCGCAGUGGAACCGUCUAUUGGUGUGAUAAUUAUCUACGCCGUGGACGUCUGCUAUAAUGGGUUUGCGCUGCUUCUAACCGUCUCUCGGGACAACACAAAUGACAAUUUGACCUCAAAUCAGGUAGGACUACCCGCUGAACUUAAGCAUAUCAAUAAGCGGAGGAAAAGAAACUAACAAGGAUUCCCCUAGUAACUGCGAGUGAAGCGGGAAAAGCUCAAAUUUAAAAUCUG